rnacentral:tRNA from 1 species
GCGCCCGUGCGCCAACGGCUGAGCGGCGUCGUUUAGGUCGACGUGUUUGUCGGUUCGAAUCCGACCGGGCGUACCG